CCGGAAAAUUCUUUUCUGCACAGUACCAUUAAAUUUCUUAAAAAAAUCAUAAAUAUAAUUAGGUAUAACAUGCUUUGAUGAAAUGGUUUUGUUUAAGAUAUUAGAUUUGACAGAACUUUACAAAAAA
rnacentral:lncRNA from 1 species